UACGUAGGGGGCAAGCGUUGUCCGGAUUUAUUGGGCGUAAAGAGCGUGUAGGCGGCUAGAUGGGUCCGUUGUGAAAAUCGAGGCUCAACCUCGAGACGUCGAUGGAAACCAUCUGGCUAGAGUCCGGAAGAGGAGAGUGGAAUUCCUGGUGUAGCGGUGAAAUGCGCAGAUAUCAGGAAGAACACCCGUGGCGAAGGCGGCUCUCUGGUACGUGACUGACGCUGAGACGCGAAAGCGUGGGGAGCAAACAGG
rnacentral:rRNA from 1 species